rnacentral:lncRNA from 1 species
GUCUUUGUCUCUCGCUGGCGCUGGCACAGGAGCUUGGGAUCCGUCUCCUCUUUCGCCUCCUCCACCUUGGGAGCCCCGGGCUACUCUCUCACAGCCCUUGUUGCCCUGUGAUCUGUAGGUCUUGGGGACGCAUAGUUAAGGUGCCAGGACAUCCUGGAAGCUGGGAAAUG